ACCAUGUUGCCUAGACUGGUCUCAAACUUGGGUCUUGUUUUAUUAUUCAUUUAGCUAGUCUAUAGCUUUUAAUUAUGGAAUUUAAUCCAUUUACAUUCAAGAUCAUUAUUGAUAGGUGAAGACUUAUCCUUUUGUUAAUUAUUUUCUGGCUGUUUUGAUGUUGUUUGUUUUUUUUUCCUCUCUCAUUUUUUUAUCAUUGUGGUUUGGUGUUUUUCAAAAUUGUAGUUAGUGUGUUUUUAUUUCUGGAUAUAGAACUCCUUUAAGGAUUUCUCAUAAGGCCCAUCAAGUUAUCACACAUUCCCUCAGUUCUUGCUUGUCUGGAAAGGGCUAUUUCUCCUUCAUUUUUGAAGAAUAGCUUUGCUGAAUACAGUACUCUUAGCUGGCAGUUUUGUUCUUUCAGUACUUUGAGCAGAUCAUCCCAUUCUCUUCUGGCCUUUAAGAUUUCUGCUGAAACCUUAUAUGUGUAUUCUUUUAUAUGUGACUUGGGGAAAUCUAUUUGUUUUUUUUUUUCUGUUUGGGAUUUUCUUAUAUGUGACAUGAUGCUUUUCUUUUGCUAUAUUAAGAAUUCUCUCUGUGCUUUUAACUUGUGGCAGUUUUACUAUAAUGUCCCUUGGAGAGGACCUAUUUGGCUUGAAUCUGUUUGGGAACUUUUGAGCUUCCUGGAUCUGGAUGUCCAUAUUUUUCCCAAGACUUGGUUUUGACAGUUUGACUAUGAAGUACUUUGCAGAAGACCUUUUGGGGUUGAAUCUAUUUGAGGAUAUUUGAGAUUCUUGUAUUUGGAUAUCUAUAUCUCUUCAAGACCUGACAACUUAGUGCCCUAAAGAAGAAGAAAGAUAAUGGUUCGCAAUCAAUGCUCAUGGACCAGACACCUAAUCUGAACUUAACCAAAAAGUCAAUAUUUAGCUGUACCUUAUCAGCGUGGAAAUGUCAAGCAUAGCAGAGGCACGAACAAAUUUCGAAGUGAUUUCUCUUUUUUUUAUGUUUCCGUGUUCACAGCUAUGUGGAAGCAUUUCAACAUCAGAUAAGACAAAACGGCCUUUGGGAGAAAAAAAAAGACAGCAAAUUACAAUACUUGCACUUGCCGAAACCACAGUUUAUGAGAGGAAAGCAGACGCUGAAGAUGCAUUCUAUUCUCUCCUAGCCCAUUCCCUGGGUCACCUUCCUGCCUGUGUGAUGCUAGCCCUUAAUUGUUACCCACAGCUGGCAGCCUUUAAGAGACAGAUAUGGUGAAAUGUCUCCUUGCUGAGUAAAGUCAUAAUUUGUUGCCACCCAACAUAAUUGACACAAAUCAUUUGCAUUCUAAAUUUCCAUGCCUAGGAGUAGAUAUAUCAAGCAUGACUAGAAGGACUGUGGGUCUGCGAAACAGGAGCUUCACCUGGAUUUCCUGGAAGUUAUGGCCAGUUAAUGUAGAGAAAGAGGUUUUCAAAAUUGCAAGAAUUUCAGGACCUUUGUCAGAAUUCCACCUCACUCCACAGGACUCCAGCUAACCUCACCCACAUAACUGGUGUUGAAAGUUUUAUUUUGUUAGAAAAUAGUGUUACACUGGAAAAACCUAUGCUGGUACUCACAUUUAAUGGGAUGGUUGGACUGUCUGUCAGCAAUGAAACAUUUGGUUAUGGAAAAAAGGAGACAACACAAGAAAGACAGUGAGGAUAAAAUUGAGAAGAAGAGGUUUCUCUUUCUCUCCCUUUACCUGCCCUGACAAACUCAAGCUUUCUUCUCUGCAAUGGGAACCUGCGUGGAAGCUUUUGUGUUUCCUUAGUCCUGAACUUCAGUCACUUUUUAAAUGAUGAAGUUGGGUACAGGUUGAAGUUUAUGUCUGGAGAAAUUAACUCCCCACUAUUUCUGGCCUACCUGGAUAUGGGCAGCACAUGCUCUUCAGGCAGAGGAAGUCCAGAGUCAAAGAGACACAAAUGCUUGAGUUUCAACAAUGUCCUUGGAGAGGGCCAGAAAAGGGCAAGAGGAAUUGGAAGCCACAUGGUAUCUGACAAGGCUUGUUCAUUAUCACAGCUUGGCCUCAGCUGAAAGAAAAGUUCUCUUGCUUGUGCUUUAACAUGGUUGAUCUGGGCAGGUCUGGAGGAGCUCUGGAAGUCUGUAAAGGAGGCUUGAAGAAUCAGCCCAGUGUUUUAAACAAUUUAAGAGCUUCUCCUCCUCUGUUGUGCUGUGUCAACCACCAAGUUGUGCCAGCUGAGAAUUGUGGUCUCAGGUCUCCAUCCAGAUCUUUGGUUGUGUGGCCACAUGGAUUCAGGCAGCUGAACACGAGCAUGGAGGCACAGGCUUUCCCUCUAAGGGUCUCAGGAAGACCACCAAACAUCAGAGGAAACCGAGGCUGAGGUCUACAUGCAACAGUCUUUGAAGAGCACGAGAACACACUGAGACCAGCAGAAAGUCCAGAUGCUACCAUGAAUUUCUUCAGACCAUCAGCAACUAGUCAUUAUAACCUUUGGGGAGAUACAGCGCUUCACCGGUGAGUCAUUAGCUUUUGGGCCUAGAGAACAAAUCUGAAGGACCUUUUCAUAUCUUAUAAUUAAAUACAUUCUGCAGCUUGCAGAUAAACAUGCUGAUCUGACAGCGAGUUAAGGAGGUUUAUCAGCAUUUGUGCACCUGCAGCGUUACACUAAAAGACAUGACUUCAUUAAAACUCACCGUGCUUGUGAGAACAAUGAGGACUGGUGGUAGGUGUUAAAAAGAAAGACACUACUAGAUGGCGGCUUUAAGCUCAUCUUUGAAGGGAUGAACUCAUUCUAUCCGACAUGUCCAGCUGUGCAAACAGCAGCACCAAGUGAGCUGCAGUUAGCUGUACUAAUACAUAGGAUUAGAACAGAGGCUGGGCCACAUACAAAUGAUGUGAAUGCUUAAUAUACUUGAACACUAUGAAUGCUGCACAGAGGGGGAAUAAGAGCCCCAGAAGUGACAGAGGAUAUUUUGCUAACUGUCAUAAAAAAGAUAGUAUGUUAGGGCCUUCUAGGAACAUUUCUCUUGCUGGUGACUUUUGCCUUUUGAGGCCAAUGUUUUCUUAGAUGAAAAAACAAUACAAAACAUCGAUCUCUCAAAAAACUCCACAGGGAAAUAACAAGGGUUGCCACAGUUACCAUUGUUCUCUCAUAAAAUCCCAGAAUGAGAAAACCAUGGGGGGUGUGUGUGUGUGUGUGUAUGCAUCUGUGUGUGUAUGUAAAUGUGUAUUUGGGCUUCAUCUGCGAUAGCAUCUCAAGCUACAAAAUAGGUGAAUGGGUGGUCUAGGUGGGCAUUAGCAGUGAGAGACAAAGAGUCUGGGCAACAGGGAUUCAGUGAUUAGGCUUGAAGGCCCAGUCAUGAAGGUAUUAGAAAGUGGGUCAAAGGAAGCACAACUCAGGUUCUAGAAACCUUGGCAACUUCUAGGAUAGAAGCAACACAGGCCUAGGAGCAACACAGACCUUGAUACUGAUGCUAAUCUCCUCUGAGGAAGUGUUAAUGGGAGUGGAUUCUUUAUAUGAUUCCUGUCCUUAGUGAGAGCUGUGGGUAGACUGAGUAGAGCUGAACCAAGCUCCUUCAUGGGCAGAUGAAAAGGAGGUUGCAGUGGGAGGAAAACCAGCAAGUCCUGAACAUUUGGAGACCCAUCCCUAACCCUCACAGCACUGCUGUAAAAACUGAAGAAUGAAGGAUUUCAUAACAUCUUCUUCCUUAUUUCCCUAAGAUUUGAAAAUGCUAGUUAUUCUUGAAAGUUUUCUGAGUAGUGCAAAACAUAUAUAGGUUGGUUUCUCUACUAGUAUUAGGAGCUGAAUAUCAUAAGUUCCUAUGUUCCAGGACCUUAAAUGAAUGGAUCUCUUCGGGAGGUGUCCUGAAACAUUAUUCUACCACAUUUGGCUCAUGCAGUCAGAAGAGCCUUUAAUAUAAUAUACGUAAGUGAUCCCAGGAGACCAGGAGUACUUCUGACAAUGUCGUUGCAGUCCAUAAUUAUGCUUUUCCUUAUUUUAGUCAUGUUUCAUGAAACUUAUACUAUCUCUUUGUCCUUUGCCAGAAUGUAUGGCAAGAGCUGAAACAAUCUGUUUUUUAAGAAAGUUUACUUAGGUAAGAUGUGAUCAUGAGUCAGAGCCAGAGAUGAAGUAAAAGACAUAACUCCAUGUUGUAAAUAAUCACAGUAUUAGUUCACAGAGGUCUUUUUGGAAACAUGAGUAAAUUAUCUUGUGUAACAACAUAUUUGCAUAUUUAGCAUCUCUAGAUAAACUAUAAACUCCUUUAAGAAUGUUAUUUGCUUCUUUUAUAUCUCCUAUCAGUGUAACACAAUGCUCAAUGUGGUAAAUGUUCACAUUCAGUUACAACUGGUAAAUGUAAAUGAGAAACACACAUAACUAACACAUUAUAUAAAUAUGCUCAUGAAUUUAUCUAAAUCAUAUCACACUUAGUCAACUCCUUUGGCAAUAUAUCUAGACCUGCCUAUUUCAUGCGUUGCAAGCAAUAGAGGUCAGGAAUUAUUGGCACGGUGGUCAAUAAGUUACUGAAGUUAAUCUUCAUUUAAUGAAUCAUCAGCAAGGGAGCUACACAGAUGACAAGUGUUCAAUUUUCAGAAAUCUCUUGCCCAAUCUGUCUCUCUUCCUUCUGUCUUCCUAAUUAUUGAUUUGAUGUAUGAGCCCCUCCUCCCAAUCCUUCAGCCAGCACCCUUGAGAGUUCAGCCUUUUAAAGAUGUUCUCAUUAGAGUCAAUAAUUCACCAUGGCAUAUUAUAUAGUACCCUGAAUAUCUAUAAAGCCGUUCUUUCAUGUUGUACAUCCUGGGGUGCUCAAAUAAUUAAUUUCUCUAGCUAUAAAGAACAAUACCUUCUAUUGUGAGUGGUAAAAUGUACUAUACACUGAACCGAUUGUAUGGACAUGGCUUGGAGACAAGCUCUGCUGGAGAGUUUCUCAAGAGGAUUUUAAUGUUGAAGACAGGUAGUUCUGUUCUUGGGCUGAUAUGAAAUCAUAAAAUAAAGUGUAAAUGUUCUUUGGAAUUAAUCAAUUACCAAUUGGUCCAAAUACUUUCUUUGGGCAUUUUUUUUCUUUCCUCUAAUUUUUAAGAGUAAAAGAACUCUUAAAAAUAGUUUAUUUAGUAUAAUUGAAAACUCUUGCUUGGCAUAAAGCGUUCCAAAGACAUAAUACCAAGACCCAGGAGAAAAUGCCAGUGUCUGUCUCUCACAUUGAUUCAGAACUGUUUAGAUUUUAAAACAGGUAUUUGUAUGAAUGCUAAAGACUUUUUGUUAAUUAAUGUUAAUGAAGGCCAGUCAUAUCCCAAUUUAGCUACCUAAAGAGGGGAAUAACAAUAUGCACAUUAACAUUUUAAUUACUGCUAAGUAAAAUAAAGACUUCAAUUUAGUUUGUGGCAAAUCAGUAACAAUUUAGAUACAUUUAAAAUUACCUUUUAAACUUUUGUAGUAUAAUUAAGAGUCAGGGGUCUCAGAUUCAAAUACCAGCUCUGCCAAAGACUAACUAGGUGGCCUUGAGUUAAGUCAUUUCAGUUAAUCUGGCCUUGGUUUCCUCAGUCCUAUAAAAUAGAUUAGUUCCUUCCAGUUCUAGUACUCUAUGUUUCUUUCUAUGAUCAUCACUUAGACCUCCAAUGAAUAAAUCACUCACUCCACUGGAAUAUAAACAUUAAGUAGCCAUCUUUUUUUUUUUCCUUGAAUAAAUCCUGGGCAAAAGGUAUUUAUGGGAGCAAAGAAAUGAGUGAAUUAUUGCCAAAACGUGUAUGUUCCCUUAGAUGGAAGAGUUCCUGGGAUGAAAUUUUUGUUUUAUAGGAGACUGGCUUAGGAAACCCAAGACAGAAUGUAUAUCUAUUCAUCUCUAGGUCAUAGUGUGAAAACUUCCAUCAGAAAUCUGGGAGCAGUUCUUAAGUCAAAAAACAGACCUGGAAUCACAGUAUCCAUACAUAACAGUUGGAGGACAAAAGACAUUGCCCCAGAGACCAGAGGCACCAAAAUAUGCUACACCUAGCUACCUGAGAAUGCCUCUGGCUGGCAGCUCCAGCAAAGGCCCUUUUCCCCAUCCUUGGCCAUCAUGAGUGAAAGCAAAGAACUGAAAGACUGAAAAAUCUGAGACUGAGCGUUCCUUCCUAGAGAGACUAGUACCAUAUCAACCAGAUUGGAUAUGUGUUUAUUUUUCUUUUCUGCCAUUCAGCACGUGGCAAAGACCCAGUUAGUUAUAAACAAAAUGAAAGAGGUUGUAUUUCUAAAAUUUUGCACGUCUAAGUUGUAGUAUGUAUUAAGUUUGUAUCCUUGUUAUAUGUGAUUCCCUGCUGUGGCCCAGCAGAUAAUAUAAACACUGUAUUUUAUAGACCCCAAAUUUAAUACUGGAAUCUUAAGCAAAGAAACAGUCUUUCUCACACAUUUUUUCAUAUUUGUCACUAAAAAUCCUUUGUCUCCAGGAAUAUCAAUCUGGGUACUGUUCCUAAGAACCCAAUUGGUACAACUUUUUGGAGUUAAUAAAAUUGUGUUCCCACUGGUUUCCAUUGCUGUUUUGUGCACAAUUCCCCACUGAGUAUUUGAUGAAUUUCUACUCCUUGGGGGCCCCAUUUUUUGUGUGAGUAUGCUGAGGAUCCAUGCGUCUUGUCACAGGGAGGAAGAUGAUUUCCUCUGAUAACAUUCCCCUGGUACCUGAGGAGCUUAUCACAGCCCUUUAUUUGUCUGUUUCUGUUAUGUUGGCAUGCGUCCAGAGCAAUGGGAAAGAAAAGGUUGUGCUUUUACAGGGAACAUUUUAUUCCCUCUUGGGAAAAGUGAACAUGACUCAAUGUCAGGAAGGGAAAUUUUUCAUACAGAUAAAGAGAAUGAACAUCCGCCUACCUCUUUUAAUAGUUAAAACACAUUUACAGUCCUUUUGUAUUUUGUUUUCUUGAAGAGCUCAAAUUAUUUUAGAAAAUCUGAUUUCUUGAAACCAGACCUGCCCCAGCUUGUUUUGUGUGUGAAGAGGGACUAUUUUUCAUUUCUCAAAAGACCUGUGUGGUGAGGGGGGGCCAAGAUGGUGAGGUCAGGUUGGAUAUGGGUAGGUGGGGGAAGAUUUCUGAAAUAAACAACCAAAAGCUGGGUGCAAGCUGAACUUUCUCCCUAAUGAGAGAAACCAAGAGGGUAAUUAAAAUUAUUAAAGAUAGAUCGGGUAAGGCAUUUGAACUUAUCAAUAGGUUUUAAUGUAUUGGAUUGCUAUUAAAUAGUCACAAAAACUGCAUCCUGAUUUUGAAGGUGGUGGAUAUUGGAAGGGACUUGGGCAAAUCCAAGCCUCAGUUUACCUUUGUAAAUUUAUCAUUUGUCAUUUAUUUGAAAAUCUCAACUCCUUAAUAGAACUGUAAAUCUCCAGAGAGCAUAGAGUCUGUGUUUCCUUUUAUUAAAAAAUGACUUCUUGUUCUACUUCUCAGAGUACCCAGCUUAGCUCUGAGUAUGUGCUCAGUAAUGUUGUAGGUGUCUCAAUAUGUGUAUUUUAAAUUGACUGCUGUAUUAUCUAAAGAUAGAGACUCACUGGCUCUAAUUCAGCAGUUCCUAUGGGCACCAGUGAGACACCUACCCACUGGAUUAAGGACAGUAUAAUAUUUUGCUUUAACUUCUCUGUAAUGAAAAUGUGUGUUUGCUGAUGAUCAAGACAGAGAAAAUUUUUUUGUUCCUUGUUUUCUCCAGACUCUAGUUUUUGUGUUAGUCCAGAAUCAAGGAUGCCUCUUGUUGCAGAGACUACUACUCGACCUCCAAUAUCUACUUUUUACAUCUGCCUUCCUUAGUAAUUCAGCUCCCCCCGAUUUUUUUUCCCAGGGCUCAUGCUAACCUGGAAUACAUAUUAUACUCCCCAGCCUCCCUUACAGUUAGAUGUGGCUACACGACUCAGUUCUGGCCAAUGGAGUGUAUGUGGAAAUGCAACUUUUGCAUAUAGGAUACUUUCCUUUAUGGAAAGGGGAAAGCCGUUCUUCUCUUCUUUCUUCCACCUGGCUGCCUGGAGUGUGGAUGUAGUGGCUGGAGCUCCCAGGUCUAUAAAGGACCAUGUUCUUCGGUAGGGAAGCUGUGCAUACAGAACAAGACAGAAGAAGCUUUACAUUUUGAUACCGUGGAGCUUCCAUAUAACCAGCCUCUGAACUGCUCACCUCUUGAAUUCCAUCUGAGGAAGGAAUAAGCAACUGUAUUGUUUAAUUAAGUUUUCUUUUGGCUUUUAAUUGUAGUGAGAAUCUAAUUUGAACUAAUAUGGUCCCCUGAGCCAAUAAUCUGUAUUCUGUUAUCAACUGCAAUUCUGUUGUUUAAAACUUUUUUAUAAAACAGAUAAGUUCCUGAACUUUUUUUUGUAAGUUUGAAGAUAUUUUAAAUAUAAUAAUAAGGGUUACACUUUAAAGAAACCAUAUAGCAAAUUCUUUUAUAAAGGAUUUACAUUUUUUUAUUACAAAAAUGUUUUAAGUGCCAAAUCCUGGAAUGGGGACAAAAAAAGACAUUAGUGGAAGUAUUGAUGAGACCUAAAUAAAGUCUGUAGUCUGGUUAA